rnacentral:rRNA from 1 species
GAUGAACGCUGGCGGCGUGCCUAAUACAUGCCAGUCGAGCGAACGGACGAGAAGCUUGCUUCUCUGAUGUUAGCGGCGGACGUGUGAGUAACACGUGGAUAACCUACCUAUAAGACUGGGAUAACUUCGGGAAACCGGAGCUAAUACCGGAUAAUAUUUUGAACCGCAUGGUUCAAAAGUGAAAGACGGUCUUGCUGUCACUUAUAGAUGGAUCCGCGCUGCAUUAGCUAGUUGGUAAGGUAACGGCUUACCAAGGCAACGAUGCAUAGCCGACCUGAGAGGGUGAUCGGCAACACUGCAACUGGGACACGGUGCAGACUCCUACGGGAGGCAGCAGUAGGGAAUCUUCCGCAAUGGGCGAAAGCCUGACGGAGCAACGCCGCGUGAGUGAUGAAGGUCUUCGGAUCGUAAAACUCUGUUAUUAGGGAAGAACAUAUGUGUAAGUAACUGUGCACAUCUUGACGGUACCUAAUCAGAAAGCCCCGGCUAACUACGUG